rnacentral:tRNA from 1 species
UGGGGUGUCGUCUAACGGUAGGACAGUAGCCUUUGACGCUACUUAUCCAGGUUCGAAUCCUGGCGCCCCAG